UGCAAGUCGAACGAGAAAGUGGAGCAAUCCAUGAGUACAGUGGCGUACGGGUGAGUAACACGUGGGUGAUCUACCUUUUAGUGAGGAAUAACCGAGGGAAACUUCGGCUAAUACCGCAUAAGCCCGAGAGGGGAAAGUCGAAAGACGCUGAAAGAGGAGCCCGCGGCCGAUUAGCUAGUUGGUGAGGUAAGAGCCCACCAAGGCAGAGAUCGGUAGCCGGCCUGAGAGGGCACACGGCCACACUGGCACUGAAACACGGGCCAGACUCCUACGGGAGGCAGCAGUGGGGAAUCUUGCACAAUGGGGGAAACCCUGAUGCAGCGACGCCGCGUGAGCGAUGAAGCCCUUCGGGGUGUAAAGCUCUUUCGUCAGGGAAGAUAGUGACGGUACCUGGAGAAGCAGCUGCGGCUAACUACGUGCCAGCAGCCGCGGUAAUACGUAGGCAGCAAGCGUUGUUCGGAGUUACUGGGCGUAAAGGGUGUGUAGGCGGUUCCUUAAGUUUGCUGUGAGAUCUCCCGGCUUAACCGGGAGGGUGCGGUGAAUACUGAGGGACUAGAGUACGGGAGAGGAAAGUGGAAUUCCUGGUGUAGCGGUGAAAUGCGUAGAUAUCAGGAGGAACACCGGUGGUGUAGACGGCUUUCUGGACCGACACUGACGCUGAGACACGAAAGCGUGGGUAGCAAACAGGAUUAGAUACCCUGGUAGUCCACGCCCUAAACGAUGCAUAUUUGGUGUGGGCAGUUCAUUCUGUCCGUGCCGGAGCUAACGCGUUAAAUAUGCCGCCUGGGGAGUACAGUCGCAA
rnacentral:rRNA from 1 species